UCCCCCCGGUGCUUAAGUUUCCAGAGGUUUUCAAAUGGAAAUAGAGUGGGCGUGGUGGUGGUGCAGAAGUGAGGUGUUGUGGGUGUGGGGGGAUUUGGGAGAGGGCAUCCAGGUCAGAAACUUUACACAAAUUCCAAGCUAUCACUACCAUUGCAGAUCAAAAAACUUAGGUGUGAGAGACCCUCUUAGAUACAUUGCCUUCUUGAUCGAGGUUAGCUAACGACAGGUCCCAGUUCUGGGGCAGUUUUGAGAGGGUCUUAAGACUGCUAGAGGCCAGAUCUCCUAGUUUGGCCUGGGGGCUAAACCAGGCUCGACUCCCGCAGCUCUGAAGCCCGGAAGCAAGGCAAAGACUGUUUUAAUCUUAUCUACUCUUUAAGUUUCAGCAGCCACAGCCCAUCAACGCUGGCUCGGACCCGUGCCUCCUCCAGGACAGUUAAGGGAGCGAAAAUUCAACCUUCACCCUGAAUCUCAGAUCAAGGAGAGGAAGCAAAAGGGGGUUCGGUUGCUUCUUCUGGCCCAAUGGGCCUGCGCUUUGCAGACCCCCAAAAGUGCGAGGCGUAGUCUGCACCCAGGCGAUAGCAGGGCUCCGGGAGUGGAGGCUUUCCGCGCACUCCCGGGCCCGCGCUCCCUUUCUGGUCCUCCAAGGUCAGGGCCAGCGACCUCCGCCGGCCUCUCCACGCCCUCAAAGGGAAUGCUGCGGGCCCUGGCCCAACGUAACCUGGCCAGGAAAGAAGACGGCGCUACUGGAUUCGGGAGAGGGGGCGAGGCGAAGGUCCGACCCUGUUCUGGAAAACGCCAGCUCCUCCUGGAUUCGCCAAAGUCUAAAGAAGCCCAGGGAAAGCUCUGCGGGUUUUCGGGGGGAACUCCACUGUGGGACUUGUCCCGUAGAUCUUUCUCAGUCCUUGGCCUUCCUCCCGCGGUCCUCCCCUCCCCAGUUCCCCCGCCCCGCCCAAGUCCCGGGCCGCUGGGGCUGAGCCCACCGAGCCUGGAGAAGAGCGAAGGAGCCCCCUGCCGGCCAGAGGCGGCCGGCGCGGCCACCCGCUCUCGCUUCCCUCCGCCCAGCCCGCGCGGCCCCGCCCGGACCCUGCUCGACCCUCCAGGGUCCCCAGGACUGGGGACUUGUUAAAAGAAACAGAAAACAAAACAAAACAAACAAAGCGCCAAAAUCCACUCUCACCUCGUUCACUGCUCAAAGAGCUGGGGAUUGAAUCCAGGCCCUCAUGAAUGCUAGACAAUUGCUCUACCACCGAGCUAUGCCACAGCACUCACCAUACCUUUGUAUAGAACAGAAAAAGUCAGCUCAGAGAGGAUAAUGUCUUAUCCAGGGUCACACCGUUUCUGAAGAAGAAUCUUCAGAAGUAAAAUCUGAAAAUGAAAAACAAACGAACAAACCAAAAUCAAUGAAGUUCUGGCAAUAGUCAGAAAUUGUUAGAAUAUAGAGUGUGGCCAACUCCAUGAGAAAAUGAAGGAGAAAUGGUUUGGAGAGUAUCUGAGGAUGGAAUUGGGUAGCUGAAAUGCCAAGGUUCUUUAGUAACUAUGCUGCCUCAUCAGUCCAGAGGAAAUUCAAAAAAGUCCAGCGGAAGCAGAACGUUCAGAGCAUGGAUAAUCAGAAGAAAGAAGUUAACUUAUCUUUGUGUAACAUGGAUUCUCUGGGCCCAGCUUGUGCAAUUUGUAAUAUAUAAGAAGCUUUCAUUGUUAAUCUUCUGAAAAACAAAUUAAACUGAAAUAGGCCUCCUUCUCUCUUUGUCUCAACUCUGGCUCUCACAUACACCAAAUUUUUGUGGUUUAAAAUAUUUGUUUUAUUUUAUUUUCCCCUGAUUCCCUUACUUAGUAGUAUUUUUCCUAACUCUACUCCAGCUGGUAUUAACUGAGUGGCUUUUCUGGCAUCUCACUUGAGGUCACUCAUGUGAAUGAAAUAAUGUAGAAGUUUAAUGGAUGAAAUGAUGGCCUCGCUCACAUUCUGGCUUUGAGCAGGACUUCCUCAGGCCCUCAGUUGUCAAGCAGGAUAGCCAGACAAUCUUAUAUGAUGCUAUUUGGUUGCCAAGGAGCAAUAAUGAAAGCUGCAAGUCUGUGUGAGCAGUGUCUUGGAACUCUGAUACCCUAACACCCAUCACCUGCUAUUGAUAUAGGUUCGAUAAGGCUAUACCCUAUAAGUGCUAUACCCUAACACCCAUCACCCCAACAUAAGCAUAAGGAAGAGUUGACUCUGCCUGUUGGUGGAGAGAAUAACAGCAUCACAUUGCAAAGAGGUGUUCACAAAGAGAAGGCAGGUGCACGCCCCCGUCACCCCACUGCUUUGCAAACCAUAUUUGUGGUUAUGCCCAAAUUUCUUAUCAUUCUCUUGCAUAUAUCUGCAUUUCCACAAAAUAAUAUUUUGUUUAGGUGUUUGCUACUUGCUGUUUGCUGCAGGUAACUCAUAUAGUUACAUACCACAGAGACAACCCUUUUCUCACUCAAAUCAAUGGCAUUAUUGAUAUUUAAAGUUAUAUAUUUCUUAAUACAAGCCAAUGCAAUAUGUUGAUGAUUUUAUAAAUCUGUAUAUUUCUUAGUUCUCUCAGAAAGAGGUUGAGGGCAAAAAUUGCUUCUCUAGUGAAAGUCUGUUUUUGGUUUCUGUUAAAUGAUGAUCUAUAAUUGAUUUGUGUGCCAACUACAACUGCCUCAGUCUGUUUUCAGCUAUUUUGUUCACAAUUCAAUAUGUAGCAUUAUUCACAAAGAGCAAACCAGCCCUUUCUGAGAUAAUCAAUUAUAAACUAAAGAGAAAAAGACUGUUUUUAAUGGAAUAUUGAAAAAAGUGGAAGUGGCUAAAUAACUUGGGUGGGGGGAGUAGUCUUAGUAACUGUAGAGCUAUUUUGUAAGAGGUCACACUUUGUCAGUGCUAUCUUGUUAUUUAACAUUAUUCUGGUAGGGAUGCUAGGGCAGCAAGCAAGGUUGUGGCUAGGGAGAGUCAAGCCUACUGUACUUAGGUACUUCAUAGACACCUGAUAUUUAAUCUUUACAAUUCUCUUUAAUUGUAGUAUCCUACCCUCUUUGCAUAUUAGAAAAUUGAAAUUUGGAGAGCCAGGGACAGUGAUGCUUGGUAGAUACAAGCUACUUGGGAGACUGGGGCAGGAGUUUCACAAAUUUGAGGACAACCUGGUAACUGAGGUAGACCCUGUCUCAAAAUACAGAAAUAAGGGGGAUGGGGAUAUAGCUCAGUGGUAAAAGAAAAGAAAAAGCACACUGAGGCUCAUGAAAGUAAUCUAUGCAAAUUCAUACAGACAGUAGCGUAAGUGGAGUAAGUAUACAGGUAACCUUGAAUUUAAACCCAUAUUCUUUUUGUAUGUUACACAUAUUCUUUAAAUUUGGAGACAUUAGCGCCACAAUCCCCAUUUUUUUUUUCUGAUGAAUACUUAUAAAUACACAGGCAUAGUAAACUGCAAUUGUAAGAAGAUAGGGCAUAUUGUGGGAAUUGUUCUAGAAAUAAUUAUCUGUCACCAUUGUUUAAAUAACAAUAUUUCACUCCUCCUUUAUGGGAGAAUACAAUUUGGACCCAUUUACUUCACUGUUAUACGGUAACUCCUGGAAGGAAUGUGAAUUUGUCACGAACAUUAAUAAUAGACUGUAAUUUCAUUAUAGUAAAUCUUAAUCUGGCCUUAAAGUAUUAAUAUGGAAGGUUCAGGUUCCAUUUUGGAGGAAGAAGAAGCUAAUUCCAUACGUUUCAAAGUUAGGAUGCAUUUUUUUUUCCCCACAUUAAAUCUUUGAAAUCAGAAUUUGUCUUAUAACCAUAAUGAAAAAUUCGGUCAUAUUUUAAUUGUUUGCUGGUGCUCUUGAUUUAAAAUAAUAAAAAGGUCAAGCCCGAGUAGGGCAUCACCAGUUUCUCCUACUCAUAGGUGAGGUGACUGAAGCUCCUAGGUGAAGCAGCUCAUCCAUUGCUGAUGGAAAUAAGAGGUAGAACCAGGGUCUGAGCUAAGGGAAUCUGAGCAGUGAAUGGAAAACUCGAUAUGACAUGUCAUUGAGGAAAACUUUCCACACCCUUUGCUUUCCAGUUUAUCCAUUUGAUGAUAUCAUUGUCCCUCUGCUGUCUCCUUCACUCUUCUUUCCUUUGAUCUUCCCUGACACCCUCCUCUCCCCGCCCCCGCCAUUUAGGGAAUUUACCAUAUUCCCUGAUCCAGAACAUCACCCAGUCUCUAACUGGAUCCUAUACUUCUUACCUCUAUUAUAAGUACUCUAUAAUUCCUUUUUCUCUGUUUAGCAAGUCCAACAAUGGAUGGAUUCAUUUAUUCAACAAGAAGACAAAAAAAUCACACAACUGGGCAAAUUCACAAUCACCAUCCUUAGUUGGACCCUCAACAUUUUAGAGAAAUCUGUUCUUUUCCCUUUUCAGUUCUCUUUGUUUGCAUCAACUCUUUCGAGUAACCUCAACCUGCUUCAAAGUCUUCCUUCUCAUUGUUUCUCUAAUUCAAAUUUACUCUAAAAUACUAAUUCUAUCUCAAGUUAUAAUUUAUCGAAAUGUUAAAACAUCAUUAUAAUAACAAUGAAAGACUUCUCAUUCAUUUAUUUUAAUGGCAUCCAGAAUGAAAGUAAGAGGCAAUGGAAGGUAGCUAAUUGCAGAAGAGCCAGGCUUGGAACAAGUUUCCUGAUUGCCAAAAAUGAUCUCCAUUUCUUGUUAUCUCAAAAGAUGCUCCACACACAAAUACUCACAACUCAUGUAUUUCACAUUUUGUUUAUCUCUUUGUGAACUGGUAAUAUAUUCACAUGGUUUGAAAUCAAAAUCGCAACCUUUUCCUCUUUAUCCACCCAAUUUUCUCCUCCUACUCAAGGCAGGCUCCCUUCCAGUGUUUCUUUAUGUAAAGAUAUGUGAAUAAAAGCAGAUUUUUUAAAUCACUCCUUUUUAUUUCCUGUGCUGAGGAUCAAACCCAGAGCCAUGCACAUGUUAAGCACAUGUUCUGUCGCCAACCUACACCCUUAGCAACAUCUUUUCCUUAUUAAAAAAAAAAAAUAGCAUGAGAGAAGGAGAGAGCCAUGUGUGUGUUUUCCACAUUGAGGCUCUUUCAC